rnacentral:lncRNA from 1 species
GCAAAAAAGCCAUGGCCUGUCACUGUCCUGAAUUGUGUCCUUGGUGAUGACGUGUAUCAGCCGUUGCAGGAGAACCACGUGGAAUUACUACCCCCUUCCCUCUCUGCAGGUUAAGCUGAAGAAGUGUUAAUAAAGUAAUCUGUAUGAAUGCCAAAGUCCUGUUUACAGUACUGUCCAGAGUUAUGCAGGAUGGCACUUUGGAAGCUAAAGAAUAUAUAGGAUCUCUCUGUGUUCUUACAAGUGCCUAAGGGUCUACAGUGAACGUACACGUCUGGAAGGAAGUGCGACAGAGAGGCCAGGUCCGGUUGCCAGCGGACUGCAGAGUUCUGGAUGGCUGUGGAAGGGCAUCACAAGUUUACAGGAUCCACCUUUCUCGCAAAAGAAGAGAACACAGGAAAGUGCUAUGUGAAAGUCCUUUUCCUUCUGGCCCAAAAUGAUGCUGUUAGAAGAACAUCUUCUUUUACCAAGUCAUAAAUGCUUGAAGGCUCAUCAACCAGAUGCUGAAAGCAAUACUAACAGUUGUUGACAUUUAUUGAGUGCUGCCACAUGCCAGUCUCUUUGCAUGAGUUGUCACAGCCGAUGCUCUUGAUGGUCCUUUGGACGGGUGCCGUGAUGACGUUUGUUUUACACGAGAGCAAGGCAUGAAGAGAUUUAAGAAAACACUAGAAACAGCAGAGACUGUAUUUGAUGUGUUCAGGGACAAAAAUCAGUGCCAAGAUUGCAUGCUCACCCUGUCCAUGGCAAACUGCCCUGGAGCCUCUCUGUGUGUUUGUGGGUGUCAGGGUGCGCAUGUGCAUGUGAGUGGUGUGUGCAGGUACGCACUGGGGUGGGGGGAAGGUCGGUCAGAGGAUAACCAACUGUGUCAUUCCUUAAGCGCUGUACACCCCCUUCCUGAGGGUUUCUUACUGGAGGGACUCGUUCCCACCUGUCUCUUCCUCUGAGCCCUGGUAUUGUAAGAUGUGUUCCGGGAAUCAAAUUCCAUUAUGUUGUAAGACAAGCACUAUACUUGAUAGACAAGUUAUCUCCCCAGCCUGAGCUUCUCCCCACCAUACUAUUAUCUCUAGAAGGUUCUUGACCAACUUUUGACAUACCACAUUUGUUUAUUGUGUACUUACUAAACGUCAGGCACCUUGCAUGGGCUUUCACACUAAUCCUUCCCAGUGAGUCUGGAUGUAUUGUAUUUGUGGGCACUUUGGAGAGGUGUCACACAACCGUGUAUGCGGGAACAGUGACAGUGUUCAGGUGAGCAGCUCUGACUUCUUGCUUCCUGCUCAAAAACCGGCAGCCUCAAAGCCAUUGAAUUUCUCUCUCCAGACUAGAUGUUCCUGCCUCUGCCAGGCCAGCGUCUGGUAGUCUGGUGUGCACAAGCUCCAUCUUGAUCUUUCACUUUACAGGGAGCAUCUUGAGGGCUGUCCUUGCUAUGCUCAGGUACUGGGGACUCAGAGCAAGUACAAUUCUAUGUUUAAAAAGCCCUCACUAAUGACAUUUGGCUCGUAGAAUCUGGAGGAAAUAAUCGGCACCUCUGACAGAGAUGUCUUUCACCUUUGGUGUGACUUCUGAGCACCUGAUACGGCAUUGAGGACUUUAAUGGCCAUCUCUGGCCCUGCCUGGAAAUAAGGGAACACAGUCUGCAAUCAAAGCUGGUGGUAAGUAGUCAGGAGCCUCUUGCCAGGGCAACUUCUGGCUGGCUGAUGGCUGGGGUGGUAUUAUGGAUUCUUUCUGCUUUCUCUUUUCUGCUGGAGCUUUUCCCGGCAGCCGCUCCGUGUCCGGGUUUUGGGGGCACCUUGUGAUUGCGGGUCAAGGAGCAGCCAGUAAAUAAGCGGGGCGCAGCCAGCCAGCCUGGCUUCCCAGCCCAGCCUGGAGCUGCUAGAUAUUCUGUACGGCAAGCUAGAAUUUGGCGCCACAACUGGAAGUGCGGCUUUUGUUCACAGCAAAAACAAGGUUUGACUGGCUCUGUUCCCGCGCUGCCCGCCCAGGCAGGCAGGAAGGAACCUCAGCAAGCGUCUGUCUGUGAGCUGCCUUUAGCACUGACCAUGUCCCAGCCACCGCACUAGGAUGUGCGUCCCAGCCACACCAGACACUGGCCAGAAGGAACGCAGAGUGCAACAGAUGCUCAGGACAGCAUUAGUGUGGGUGGAAAGCACAUUGCUGCUGGCAACUAGGGCGUUUUCAACACUUGUCAUCCAAGUAGGAAAAGUUGUUCCCAUCCAUGACUCAAAGGCCACCUUCCACCUGGACCAAGUUAGAACACGGAUUUCUUUAUUCCAGGAGGGAAAUUCUGGCAUUAUUUAGUGUAAGAGUUCAUCCAGCUUUGCAGACCCUAAUUAUGAAUAGAUUCACUGCUGUUGGCUUAAUUUUUUUAGGGAAGAAAAAGAGCAUUUAUGUACUGUGCACAUGUGAAACAACCUGCCAGAGCCUGUCCUCUGCUUUCCCAUGCAUCUUGGUAGCAAGUGCUGCACCUGCUGCGCCACCUCACAGGCCCUAGUUUAAUUUUCCAAUGCCAGGAUGCAUGGAACACAUUUACACCCAGUCACACGCCACUUGGAGAAAAGUCAUAGUUGAAUUCCAAAGCCAGGUAGGUUAGAAGUGAGUCUCGUCACUUCAGAAAGGACUUUUGGAGUCUUGAAGUAACAGCAGCGGGGAUGUCUCAAGUCUUGCAGUUAAAAUUUAAUUCUUUAAACUUUAAUUCUUUUAUAUGUGCUCUCUCUCUCUCUCUCUCUCUCUCUCUCUCUCUCUCUCUCUCUCUCUGUGUGUGUGUGUGUGUGUGUGUGUGUGUGUGUGUAGAAGAGGGCAGCAGAUCUCCCAGUCUUUGAGUAAGAGAUGUUUGGGAGAUGAAAAUGGGUGCUGGAAUUGAAUCCAGGUCCCCUGGGAGAGCCGCCAGUGCUUUUAAACACUCAUCUCUCCAACCCCAUUUUAAUUUAAUUGUACAUGUGUAAGUCUGUCAAUGUCUCUGUGUGAAUAGACAUGUGAGUGGCUAAAGUGAGAGGCAUUAGAUUCCCCAUGAGCUGGAGUUAAAGGGAAUUUUGAACUGUGGAAGGUGGGUGAUGGGAACCAAACCCCUGUCUUCUGCAAGAGCAGCCCAUACCCUUAAUGACUGCACCAUCACUCCAGCUGGGAUUUCCUUCCUGCAGUCUUGCUAGAGUAAAAACACUAUUGAAGAAAUAAGGAGACUGAAAAGAUCGAUUUUGAAAACUUAGCGUCAAAUAUUUCUGUUUUGAGCUUAAUUACUCCUAUCCUGAAAGUACAUUUUCAGAAAUGGGGGUUACUAGAAAUAACUGAAUUAAAUAUGGCCAGUAUGACCAAGGAAUUGAAUUU